UACGGUGAAACUGCGAAUGGCUCAUUAAAUCAGUUAUCGUUUAUUUGAUAGUACCUUACUACUUGGAUAACCGUGGUAAUUCUAGAGCUAAUACAUGCUAAAAACCCCGACUUCGGAAGGGGUGUAUUUAUUAGAUAAAAAACCAACGCCCUUCGGGGCUUCUUGGUGAUUCAUGAUAACUUAACGAAUCGCAUGGCCUUGCGCCGGCGAUGGUUCAUUCAAAUUUCUGCCCUAUCAACUUUCGAUGGUAGGAUAGUGGCCUACCAUGGUAUCAACGGGUAACGGGGAAUUAGGGUUCUAUUCCGGAGAGGGAGCCUGAGAAACGGCUACCACAUCCAAGGAAGGCAGCAGGCGCGCAAAUUACCCAAUCCCGACACGGGGAGGUAGUGACAAUAAAUACUGAUACAGGGCUCUUUUGGGUCUUGUAAUCGGAAUGAGUACAAUUUAAAUCCCUUAACGAGGAACAAUUGGAGGGCAAGUCUGGUGCCAGCAGCCGCGGUAAUUCCAGCUCCAAUAGCGUAUAUUAAAGUUGUUGCAGUUAAAAAGCUCGUAGUUGAACCUUGGGCCUGGCUGGCCGGUCCGCCUCACCGCGUGCACUGGUUCGGCCGGGCCUUUCCUUCUGGGGAGCCGCAUGCCCUUCACUGGGUGUGUCGGGGAACCAGGACUUUUACUUUGAAAAAAUUAGAGUGUUCAAAGCAGGCCUUUGCUCGGAUACAUUAGCAUGGAAUAAUAGAAUAGGACGUGCGGUCCUAUUUUGUUGGUUUCUAGGACCGCCGUAAUGAUUAAUAGGGAUAGUCGGGGGCAUCAGUAUUCAAUUGUCAGAGGUGAAAUUCUUGGAUUUAUUGAAGACUAACUACUGCGAAAGCAUUUGCCAAGGAUGUUUUCAUUAAUCAGUGAACGAAAGUUAGGGGAUCGAAGACGAUCAGAUACCGUCGUAGUCUUAACCGUAAACUAUGCCGACUAGGGAUCGGGCGAUGUUAUCAUUUUGACUCGCUCGGCACCUUACGAGAAAUCAAAGUCUUUGG
rnacentral:rRNA from 1 species